rnacentral:rRNA from 1 species
GAUUAACGCUGGCGGCGUGCCUAACACAUGCCAGUCGAGCGGCAGCGCGUUUUACACUGAAUUCUGGAAGCUUCUAGUUGAAAGAGAAGAUUUAUUCAAGAAUUUUGUGUAAAAUGUCGGCGAGCGGCGGACGGCUGAGUAACGCGUGGGAACGUACCCCAAAGUGAGGGAUAACGCAUCGAAAGGUGUGCUAAUACCGCAUAUGGUCUUCGGAUUAAAGCCUUCGGGCGCUUUGGGAACGGCCUGCGUAAGAUUAGAUAGUUGGUGGGGUAAUGGCCUACCAAGUCGACGAUCUGUAACUGGUUGGAGAGGAUGAUCAGUCAGACUGGAACUGAGACACGGUCCAGACUCCUACGGGAGGCAGCAGUGAGGAAUCUUCCACAAUGGGCGAAAGCCUGAUGGAGCAACGCCGCGUGCAGGAUGAAGGCCUUCGGGUUGUAAACUGCUUUUAUAAGUGAGGAUUAUGACAGUAACUUAUGAAUAAGGAUCGGCUAACUACGUG